GAUGAACGCUGGCGGUGUGCCUAGUACAUGCAAGUCGAGCGAACAGACGAGGAGCUUACUCCUCUGACGUUAGCGGCGGACGGGUGAGUAACACGUGGAUAACCUACCUAUAAGACUGGGAUAACUUCGGGAAACCGGAGCUAAUACCGGAUAACAUGUUGAACCGCAUGGUUCAACAGUGAAAGACGGUCUUGCUGUCACUUAUAGAUGGAUCCGCGUCGCAUUAGCUAGUUGGUAAGGUAACGGCUUACCAAGGCAACGAUGCGUAGCCGACCUGAGAGGGUGAUCGGCCACACUGAAACUGAGACACGGUCCAGACUCCUACGGGAGGCAGCAGUAGGGAAUCUUCCGCAAUGGGCGAAAGCCUGACGGAGCAACGCCGCGUGAGUGAAGAAGGUCUUCGGAUCGUAAAACUCUGUUAUUAGGGAAGAACAAAUGUGUAGGUAACUAUGCACGUCUUGACGGUACCUAAUCAGAAAGCCACGGCUAACUACGUG
rnacentral:rRNA from 1 species